GACGAACGCUGGCGGCGUGCUUAACACAUGCAAGUCGAACGGAAAGACCCUGCUUUUGUGGGGUGCUCGAGUGGCGAACGGGUGGGUAACACGUGAGUAACCUGCCCUUGACUUUGGGAUAACUUCAGGAAACUGGGGCUAAUACCGGAUAGGAGCUCCUGCUGCAUGGUGGGGGUUGGAAAGUUUCGGCGGUUGGGGAUGGACUCGCGGCUUAUCAGCUUGUUGGUGGGGUAGUGGCUUACCAAGGCUUUGACGGGUAGCCGGCCUGAGAGGGUGACCGGCCACAUUGGGACUGAGAUACGGCCCAGACUCCUACGGGAGGCAGCAGUGGGGAAUAUUGCACAAUGGGCGGAAGCCUGAUGCAGCAACGCCGCGUGCGGGAUGACGGCCUUCGGGUUGUAAACCGCUUUCGCCUGUGACGAAGCGUGAGUGACGGUAAUGGGUAAAGAAGCACCGGCUAACUACGUG
rnacentral:rRNA from 1 species